rnacentral:rRNA from 1 species
AGUGGAUGGGGAACAACCUAGUUGUGCGUGUGUAAAGGUAGUGCCAAGAAAAGCGGUGAUCAUGAUGAAAAUCAAUUCCCGGUACCCGAAACCGACACAGGUGGGCAAGUAGAGAAUACUAAGGGGCGCGAGGUAACUCUCUCCAAGGAACUCGGCAAAAUGACCCCGUAACUUAGGGAGAAGGGGUGCCACCGAGAGGUGGUCGCAGUGAAGAGGCCCAGGCGACUGUUUAGCAAAAACAUAGGUCUCUGCAAACUCGAAAGAGGAGGUAUAGGGGCUGACGCCUGCCCAGUGCCGGAAGGUUAAAGAAGUUGGUCAGUCUUAGGAUGAAGCUAGCGACUGAAGCCCCGGUGAACGGCGGCCGUAACUAUAACGGUCCUAAGGUAGCGAAAUUCCUUGUCGGGUAAGUUCCGACCCGCACGAAAGGCGUAACGAUCUGGGCGCUGUCUCGGAGAGAGGCUCGGCGAAAUAGGAUUGUCUGUGAAGAUACGGACUACCUGCAUUUGGACAGAAAGACCCUAUGAAGCUUUACUAUAGCUUGGAAUUGUGUUCGGGCUUCCUGUGCGCAGGAUAGGUGGGAGGCGUAGAAGGUAUUCUUGUGGGGAUACUGGAGACAACGGUGAGAUACCACUCUCAGGAGGCUAGAAUUCUAACUUAAUUAAGGACAGUUUCAGGUGGGUAGUUUGACUGGGGCGGUCGCCUCCAAAAAGGUAACGGAGGCGUACAAAGGUUCCCUCAGACUGGUUGGAAAUCAGUCGCAGAGUGCAAAGGCAGAAGGGAGCUUGACUGCGAGAAGUACAGUUCGAGCAGGGUGGAAACACGGUCUUAGUGAUCCGACGGUGCUGUGUGGAAGGGCCGUCGCUCAACGGAUAAAAGUUACUCUAGGAUAACAGGCUGAUCUCCCCCAAGAGUUCACAUCGACGGGGAGGUUUGGCACCUCGAUGUCGGCUCAUCGCAACCUGGGGCGGAAGUACGUCCCAAGGGUUGGGCUGUUCGCCCAUUAAAGCGGUACGUGAGCUGGGUUCAGAACGUCGUGAGACAGUUCGGUCCAUAUCCGAUGUAGGCGUGAGAAUAUUGAGAGGAGCCUUCCUUAGUACGAGAGGACCGGGAAGGACGCACCGCUGGUGUACCUGUUAUGAUGCCAAUUGUAAACGCAGGGUAGUCAAGUGCGGAGAGGAUAACCGCUGAAAGCAUCUAAGUGGGAAGCCCACCUCAAGAUGAGUAUUCUGGUGUAAGGUCACGGGAAGACGACCCGUAAAUAGGCACGAGGUGGAAGUGCAGAGAUGUAUGAAGCCGAAGUGUACUAAUAGACCGUCGGCUUGACCG